rnacentral:lncRNA from 1 species
GUUGACAGACUCGGCAGCAUAUUGUGCCAAAUUAAAUCCCUAAUUCCUAAUUCCCUCUCUCUACCUAUUCGUUUUACAGCAACCGAACCCACCUUUCUCCCUCGCAUCUGUACGGCCUCCCUCUCUCCCGCAAGCGCGCCGUCGUCGUUCCGAUCACCGUCGUCGUCGCCGUCAUUCGCGACCGCCACCGCCGCCGUCACCGUCGCCACCGCAAUCCUCAUCUAUCAAUAAUUUUGAUUCAUCAUUGAUGACAUAUCGUCGUCAUCAUCACCAUCUUCGU